AGCAAAAAACCAUCUGGGUCUCCGCAGCUCAGUGGCGAGCCUCUCACACAACCAUUGAACACAUCUACCAAAGCAAAUGACGUGGCAUUCUUGGGAAUGAAACCUUUGAUACAGUUACAUGUCAGUAUCGUGCUAAUGUUAUAGUAAACAUUUUAUUAUCAUAUUUUUAAUACUAAUGAGGCAUGAUUUGAUUUUAAUUUGCAUAUUUUAUCUCUUAAUCCUGGAUUAUAUAUAGUUUUCAGCAGACAAGAAAAUGUUAUUUCCACAUUCUAUGACUUGUUUUUAGACUUUCAUCAAUUCAUUACAACAUAUUAUUGUUAUUAGUCGAUAACUUUGACUUAACCACGUGAAUUUUAUCCCAAAAAAAACUUAACCACCUAAAAUCUAAAUUUUUUUAUAAAGAAAUUAGUUUUUGAUCCGCGUUUUGCAGAUUUAUUUUUCAUUUUUAUAUGUUUAUAUCUUUGAGAAUGCCAUGAAAUUGACUGUGUGUUUCUAUUGUGUUUAGUUUUUGGUCUUUCUAAUUUUUGAGAUUAUUUUUUCUUUAAACGAUGCCCGGGUUAUUAUUAAUUUUAUUUGAUAAAUUAAACAUUGAAAUAUAAUUAGAAUUCGAAGUAUACUUUUAGGUUUUAUCAGUUUUAAAGAUGGUCAUUUGAUUCGAAAUUUGUAUAAAAAUUCCAACUUUUAUUUUGGAAUUUUUAAAAGAAAUAUAUGUUUACUGAUGUGUGGUAUAUUUUAAUAAGAUAAAUAUAUUAAUAUAAUAUGGCAUAGUAUUAUGUAAAUAAUUAAAAUUUAUAUUUACAAUUAUGUAAUAUAAAACUAUAGAUAUUAUUGAAAACUAUAAUAUUUGUUGUAAUAUGAAUUAGUUUAAAUUAUGUACAACUAUUUGUGCAAAAUUACGUAGUUUGUAAAUGUGUAUAUGUGAUAAAACUAUAAUAAUACAUACUAUAUUUUAACUAAUAUUGGUUUAUAUAUCUAAUAUAUUUAAUUGUGUAUUUCAUAUUAAUCAAAAAUAUAAAAGAUUUAAAUUAAACAGAAACCGUUCAAAAAUAAAUAUAGUUUUUCAUUUGACCCGCAAUUUCAAAAUGCGAGAUGUUUUAUAAAUAAUUAACAUAAUUUUUAAUUUUGGAAAUGAUAUAUGUUUUUGAAUUAUUUUACGUUUUUUAUAUUACCAUUAACAUUUAUUUUAAAUUUUGAAUAUUAAAUUUUAAAUGAGAAAUGAUUUUGUAAUUGUAACUAAAAUUUAUAUAAAUGUAACUUAUGAAAAUUAAAACAGUGUAACCCGGAGAAUUACCAAAAAUAGCAUUUUGAAUAUACCACUUUUCACUUCUACCUUAUUCAACUUUGCCAUUAAAUUUUUAAUUGGUAAAUGACUAUUAUGUCCUUAAUUAAUUGAACCUAAACUAUUCAAUUAGAUAGGUUAUAUCUUCUUCCUCGAUGUGAGAUCCCACAAUCUCCGGCGAGCUCCGGCAAAGGACGAUGAUUGGAGAUUGCUUUCGGUUCAUACACAGACUGGAACCGCAGAAGGGUUUGCUAAAGUGAGUUGCUUUGAGAAUCUGCUUGGCUCACCAACUUUUGUGGAUAUAAGAAACGGACGGCUAAGAUGCGUGGAGACUGGUCACGAAGUUGUAGCCGGAGACGAAGAAGCAUACGCUCGUAACAAACGGUGUCGUCUGGGACUCAUCGAUCACGCUCUAUCUCAUGGGAAAUCUCCUCUCACCAUGUUCUCGCAGUGCCUAAUUUCUCAUUCGAAGUUCGUGUGCAAGCUUAUUGAGGAUACUGUGAACAAGAACGAGGAACAUAUCUGGAAAUAUGUAAAUGGGAAGAGAUUUCUACACAGAUUAGAUUAAUGAACAUGAUAUCAGAUUCAUUGACAUCUUGUACUGAUUCCAAUUUUGUCUCGUGCUUGUUAUUCCUGGCUUUUAAUGUUUUGGUGUUGAUGUAUCUGAUAGAGCAAGUGGAAAGAGGAGCUGGAACAAGCGGAAAGACCGAGAAAAUAAAAGUAACCAAUAAACAUGGACACAUUAAGGAAGAAACUGACUCCAAUGAUUCAGAGUUUUGGAUGCUUAAGUCAAGUUUUGGUUCAGAGUCAGAGUAGGAGAGUGAUGAAGAAAACUGCAAAGGUUCUCAUUGUGAUGCCAAAUAAUAUGAGGAGCUCUCAGAAAG